GGCUGGUUUGAGUACAGUGGUAUUUAUAACUAAUUAAUUUUUUUUUGUUCUUUCUCCAUUCCCACUGCUUUACUUGACUAUCCUUUU
ensembl:Y_RNA Y_RNA Y RNA